rnacentral:ribozyme from 1 species
UGCUCAGCAACUUCUAUCCCUACCUCCGCGUGGCACCGGUCGGACUACGAGCAACCUUAGGGAAGAUCGGGUAACCAACCGGUGGGAACUUUGGCCGUAGGCUGACAGGGAUGG